UUAUGACAUUUUUUAAUACUGUUCUGUCAAUUUGAUUAUUUAGGAAUGUAAGAUAUAUCCAUGUAGAAUAGUGUACAUUUUAAAGUGGUUUGAUUCUCACAUAUUUAAGUUUGGAUUUUUUUAGUAAUAAGUUUAAUGAACUAGACUUUGCUUCAGGACAUUUCGCUUGCCACUUUGCCUUCUCAGAGCAAAUUUUGAGGCAGUUUUGUAAAAUGCAAGCUAAAGUUGAACAAAUUUUAUUGCCAGUAAAUCUGAAAUUAUAUAACCUAG
rnacentral:lncRNA from 1 species